AGGCCCAAGUCCAGCCUCUGGGUCACCAGUGCCCCCCGGCUCCCCAACAAAGGGCCUCAGUGACCGCCCAAAUCCUUCUGAUCAAGGCCCGGCCUGUGGACAGUGUGAGGUCAGUAGCGACCCCUGGCGUGCCAGGCCCGGGUCUUCCCGGAGUCAGGUUGCUUGGGAAUGCAGCCCAAAGCGUGUGAUAAACUCCAUCUGAGGCUAAAUACCAGCACGAGACCCAUAGUCAACAAGUACCGUAAGA
rnacentral:ncRNA from 1 species